GUUGCCUCCGGCACAAUCACCUAAGAGCUCUGAAACACCAGUUCUUAAUGACAUACUACUGGCAGCAGUCGCAGGCAAAGUCUUCUCUUUUUAAGAAUCCAGUAAGAAGUCACUGUAGUUGAACACUGGUAGAUGCUUUUACUGUGAGUGAAGUUUUCUGUAGCUUAUAUUUUGUGAUAUGUUAAAGAAGUUUGCUGUGAUUAUAUUCACACUAGCUUGCUUCACUACGUUCCUAACGAUCCAACAGACAUCUCGGUACCACCUGUCUAUGAAGAUGACCGCCAUUGACGCGCGUAUACGACGCCAAAGGGCAAUUCAUACAGACACCAAACUAACCCACAAAAGUGGUAUGGCAAUGGAAAAGUCGUCCAGCAACUCAAACAACGCUCGUCAAAUUGACAAACUGGUUCAGAAAUAUUAUAACAACUUGUUCGCUACUGAUGAGUAUAAAGCUGUUGGACCCAAAAAACGAAAACCCGAUAUGAAUAAUUUGCUGAUACCGUUUCUGUUUUACAACAUGGGACCGAACAACUUGUUCAGAAUAUUCAAAGAGUCGAUCCCAAUUAUACAUAUGAUGAACAGAACGUUGGUCGUCCCACCGUUUCACCAUCACCCGCGAAUGAAACGACUAAACGAAGAUCAAAGCGACAAAACGGUCGAAGUCGACGUUGAUAUUUUCGACCAAACUUACAGAUCGUUUGUGGAGACGGAUGCUAAAAAGACAGUGGAUAUGAAAACACUGCAAUACAUAAUACCGGCCAUUCCUAUUAAACGGUUUCACUCGACGUGUGGAAACAAAAUCAACACAUUGAUCACAUGCGGUAUAGUGAGCGGAAAGCGGGCAAGCGGGUUGACGCAUUUCAAGCAAGUCACAAAUCUGACAGUUGGUCGAGUUUUUAAAGUUGAGCAUUUGAAAGACGUGUCAAGUGAUAAAGAAUGGAAAAUGAACGUUAUGACUGCUGUACAAAACACUAAGGGACAAAAGUGUGUGGGGUUGGUCCUUGGCAGCAAGUGUUUGGGAAGCAGAGGUGCUUGGUUUAGACAUUGGCGAUCGUUCGCCCCCUUUGUACGCCACCCACCUAAGAUACAGGUAUUAGCAAACUUGUUCACUGAAAAUGUAUUGAAAGGCGAACCGUUGCUUGCUGUGCAUUGGCGAUAUGAAAACACAGACUGGCAAGAUAUGUGCAAAGCUUCCAGACCUGACUCCGUGCGUAAAAUCAACGCCCCAGUGUGUGAGUUAGCACGCCAACUAACGACCAACUCAUCGUUUCUGACGUCACUAGCCAAGAAGUUGCAUUCUUAUGCGAUGGAAAAGAAUUUGAAACACGUUUUCUUCGCAGCUCCCCCGCAGUUAACUGACACGCUUGAAGCUCUCAAAUCCCGAAUGCCAGACCUUUACGUCACUUCUGACGUACAAGCCUUCGCUGAAAACAACAAGUUCGGUGCAGAUAUUUUCAACAACAACUUUGCCACGUCGUUCCUGGAACAAGAAAUUUGCUGUCUGGCCAAAGUAUUUCUUGGUAGUCCUCUGUCAUCGUGGACACAAAGCGUGAUGUUUGACCGAGUUGCUCGUGGUAAUUCUCAACAUUCAAGUCUGUUGGAAGUUCUUUUCAAAGAUUCGUCCACCCUUCCAAAGCUGACGUGGUACUUUCCUGAGGGCGUUUGAUUGACAGGGCAGUAGGACCUACGUCAGUUGAGUGAGAUCCACUAAACAUAAGGGAGUUGGAUACGAGGCUCAUCUCGUAAAGGAGAUAACUUGUGGCUAGCAUAAAAGAAAAGGACAGAAGGUCGUGUGUCGAUUAAACUCACAAACUUUGAACGUGCACAGAUUUGUGUUGGAUUUUCACUUUGCACUGUGUGUUGUCUUGUAACGUUAGAUAUACUACUAUGGGGGGAGACGGGACACCUUUAGUGUGUUUUAAACAAUAAACAAUGGGUCGUGAGGAUACGGUUUUAUGAAUGUUUGCGAGUGCUUCAUUUACUAUCAAAUGCGACGAGAAAAUGGAAUGAAAAUGUGCCCUAUCUUCCUCCACAUUGAUAAUUAAACCGAUGCAACCUCUUUUGUACUCCUACUCCUUAAUAUAAAAUCCGUGUGUAUAAUAAAGUUUCGUGAUAUUUUAAUGCUUUUUAUCUCCCUCCAAAUAAGCCCUUAAUAAAGAUUACACCGUUGAC